AUUGAACGCUGGCGGCAUGCCUUACACAUGCAAGUCGAACGGCAGCAUGAUCUAGCUUGCUAGAUUGAUGGCGAGUGGCGAACGGGUGAGUAAUACAUCGGAACGUGCCCUGUAGUGGGGGAUAACUAGUCGAAAGAUUAGCUAAUACCGCAUACGACCUGAGGGUGAAAGUGGGGGACCGCAAGGCCUCAUGCUAUAGGAGCGGCCGAUGUCUGAUUAGCUAGUUGGUGGGGUAAAGGCCCACCAAGGCGACGAUCAGUAGCUGGUCUGAGAGGACGAUCAGCCACACUGGGACUGGGACACGGCCCAGACUCCUACGGGAGGCAGCAGUGGGGAAUUUUGGACAGUGGGGGCAACCCUGAUCCAGCAAUGCCGCGUGUGUGAAGAAGGCCUUCGGGUUGUAAAGCACUUUUGUCCGGAAAGAAAUCGCACUUACUAAUAUUAGGUGUGGAUGACGGUACCGGAAGAAUAAGGACCGGCUAACUACGUGCCAGCAGCCGCCGUAA
rnacentral:rRNA from 1 species